rnacentral:rRNA from 1 species
UUGAUCCUGGCUCAGAUUGAACGCUGGCGGCAUGCUUUACACAUGCAAGUCGAACGGUAACAGGUCUUCGGAUGCUGACGAGUGGCGAACGGGUGAGUAAUACAUCGGAACGUGCCUAGUAGUGGGGGAUAACUACUCGAAAGAGUAGCUAAUACCGCAUGAGAUCUACGGAUGAAAGCAGGGGACCUUCGGGCCUUGUGCUACUAGAGCGGCUGAUGGCAGAUUAGGUAGUUGGUGGGGUAAAGGCUUACCAAGCCUGCGAUCUGUAGCUGGUCUGAGAGGACGACCAGCCACACUGGGACUGAGACACGGCCCAGACUCCUACGGGAGGCAGCAGUGGGGAAUUUUGGACAAUGGGCGAAAGCCUGAUCCAGCAAUGCCGCGUGCAGGAUGAAGGCCCUCGGGUUGUAAACUGCUUUUGUACGGAACGAAAAGCCUGGGGCUAAUAUCCCCGGGUCAUGACGGUACCGUAAGA